ACGCUCGACACCUGGAGGCAGCAGUGGGGAAUAUUGCACAAUGGGGGAAACCCUGAUGCAGCGACGCCGCGUGAGCGAAGAAGUAUUUCGGUAUGUAAAGCUCUAUCAGCAGGGAANAAACUGACGGUACCUGACUAAGAAGCACCGGCUAAAUACGUGCCAACAGCCGCGGUAAUCUGAGCGGGCUGGCAAGGC
rnacentral:rRNA from 1 species